AUUGAACGCUGGCGGCAGGCCUAACACAUGCAAGUCGAACGAGUGGCGGACGGGUGAGUAAUGUCUGGGAAACUGCCUGAUGGAGGGGGAUAACUACUGGCAACGGUAGCUAAUACCGCAUACCAUCGGAUGUGCCCAGAUGGGAUUCGCUAGUGGGGGGGGUAAAGGCUCACCUAGGCGACGAUCCCUAGCUGGUCUGAGAGGAGGACCAGCAAAACUGGAGCUGAAACACGGUCCAGACUCCUACGGUAGGCAGCAGUGGGGAAUAUGGCACAAUGGGCGAAAGCCUGAUGCAGCCAGGCCGCGUGUAUGAAGAAGGCCUUCGGGUUGUAAAGUACUUUCAGCGGGGAGGCGGUACCCGAAGAAGAAGCACCGGCUAACUCCGUGCCAGCAGCCGCGGUAAUUC
rnacentral:rRNA from 1 species